rnacentral:tRNA from 1 species
GGAGACGUGGCAGAGCGGCGAAUGCAGCGCGUUGCUAGCGCGUAGUCGACUAUAUCGGCCGAGGGUUCGAGUCCCUCCGUCUCCGCGA